GAUGAACGCUAGCGGCAGGCUUAACACAUGCAAGUCGAGGGGUAUAGUUCUUCGGAGCUAGAGACCGGCGCACGGGUGCGUAACGCGUAUGCAAUCUACCUUUUGCAGAGGGAUAGCCCAGAGAAAUUUGGAUUAAUACCUCAUGGUAUGUGAGAAUGGCAUCAUUUUCACAUUAAAGUCACAACGGCAAAAGAUGAGCAUGCGUCCCAUUAGCUAGUUGGUAAGGUAACGGCUUACCAAGGCAACGAUGGGUAGGGGUCCUGAGAGGGGGAUCCCCCAAACUGGUACUGAGACACGGACCAGACUCCUACGGGAGGCAGCAGUGAGGAAUAUUGGACAAUGGGCGCAAGCCUGAUCCAGCCAUGCCGCGUGCAGGAUGACGGUCCUAUGGAUUGUAAACUGCUUUUGUACAGGAAGAAACACUGGUUCGUGAACCAGCUUGACGGUACUGUAAGAAUAAGGAUCGGCUAACUCCGUGCCAGCAGCCGCCGUAAGAC
rnacentral:rRNA from 1 species